UCGUGGUGCAAAAGGAAGCUGGGAGCGUUUUUGGAUCCUGUCCUGGGUAAUUUGAUGACACCUUAUAGAACAAGAACGAUGAAGGGAGUCUCAGAAAAGAGGGCAUUCCAGCUAGCCCUGGCAGGGAUGUAAUCUCUUUUCUUCAUACCGAGGUAUAAAGAUAAUUCCAAUCGGGAUUGAAACAGCGGAUGGCAAAUAAUUCUUGAACAAUCCGCUUAUGGUGUUCCAGGAUGCGAAUGAAAACCACUAAUGGGAUAAAGAAGGAUCUAGAUAAUCAUCUUGACUGCAUUAAAUCCCAUUCUUUCAGGAGAAUACUCUUGUGUGGACACCAAUUUCAUGUGUAUCAAAUGCUAAAGCUGACUAGACAUUUUCAGAGGCUGGCUGAUUCCAACACAGCCAUCCUCUCUUGGUGAUCAUCUAUCUUUUAUUUACCUGGUUGGUCAUAAUAAAUCUGAUUUCUGGUCUCUGC